AUUGAACGCUGGCGGAAUGCUUUACACAUGCAAGUCGAACGGCAGCACGGGGGCAACCCUGGUGGCGAGUGGCGAACGGGUGAGUAAUACAUCGGAACGUGCCCAGUCGUGGGGGAUAACGUAGCGAAAGUUACGCUAAUACCGCAGACGAUCUACGGAUGAAAGCGGGGGACCGUAAGGCCUCGCGCGAUUGGAGCGGCCGAUGUCAGAUUAGGUAGUUGGUGAGGUAAAGGCUCACCAAGCCGACGAUCUGUAGCUGGUCUGAGAGGACGAGCAGCCAAACUGGGACUGGGACACGGCCCAGACUCCUACGGGAGGCAGCAGUGGGGAAUUUUGGACAAUGGGCGCAAGCCUGAUCCAGCCAUUCCGCGUGCAGGACGAAGGCCUUCGGGUUGUAAACUGCUUUUGUACGGAACGAAAAGGCUCUGGUUAAUACCUGGGGCUCAUGACGGUACCGUAAGAAUAAGCACCGGCUAACUACGUGCCAGCCGCCGCCAUAA
rnacentral:rRNA from 1 species